CAAUAGCGUAUAUUAAAGUUGUUGCGGUAAAAAAGCUCGUAGUUGGAUUUCUACCGAAGAUAGCCGGUCGGGUCUUCGACCUUGUAUCUGGUUUUGUCUUUGGUAUCCUCAUAGGGGACGUUUCUGCGCUUUAUUGCGUGGUGCGGUAUCUAUGACUUUUACUUUGAGGAAAUUAGAGUGUUCACGGCAGGCAAACGCCUUGAAUAUAUUAGCAUGGAAUAAUAACAUAGGAUCUUCGUCCUAUUUUGUUGGUUUCUAGGGCUAAGAUAAUGAUUAAUAGGGAUAAUUGGGGGCAUCUGUAUCAACGCGUCAGAGGUGGAAUUCUUGGAUUGCGUUGCGACAAACUACUGCGAAAGCAUUUGCCAAGGAUGUUUUCAUUGA
rnacentral:rRNA from 1 species